rnacentral:rRNA from 1 species
UACGUAGGGACCAAGCGUUGUUCGGAUUUACUGGGCGUAAAGGGCGCGUAGGCGGUGCGGUAAGUCACUUGUGAAAUCUCUGAGCUUAACUCAGAACGGCCAAGUGAUACUGCAGUACUAGAGUGCGGAAGGGGCAAUCGGAAUUCUUGGUGUAGCGGUGAAAUGCGUAGAUAUCAAGAGGAACACCUGAGGUGAAGACGGGUUGCUGGGCCGACACUGACGCUGAUGCGCGAAAGCCAGGGGAGCGAACGGG